AAGCAAGGAACCUUAGAGGUGGAGCCCAAUUUCCUCCUUCGACAGAAAAGAGAAUAGGGAACCGAUGACAAUAGUCACUCACAGUCACACAGCUUCAUGCUACACUGGUCAAGACUAUCCAACAUUGUCAUGGCUGUGGUCAAGCAGAAAUGGGAUCCCAGUAUGCUGGCCAGACUGGUCCCCAACUCCUGGACUGAAGCAAUCCUCCUGCCUCAGCCUCCCAAAGUGCUGGGAUUACAGAUGUAAGCCACCACACCUGGCCAGGAGGUUUUAUUCGUGCUGACGUCAUAAGCCAAAGCAGGAGAGACCCAGACUCUGUGGACAGGCAGUGUGGACCUAGACUGCCUGGGUUUGAAGCCUCACUCUGCCAAUCACCAGGUGUCCCACCUUUUCCAAGUUACUUAACCUCAUCUCCAAGACAUGCCCAAUCACAAAGCCUACUUCAUAAAAUGGAGGGUUAAUUAAAUUAAUGUUCAUGAAGCCUUUAGUGGGUACGUGGUAAGCUCAAUGAUUAUUAGUUAAUAAUAUCCUUAUUAAACGUCCAGUAAGUCUUUUUUAAAUGUUAUUUUCUUUGAGAAAGGGUCUCACUCUGUCACCCAGGCUGGUUUGCAAUGGCACCAUCAUGGCUUACUGUAGCCUAGACCUCUUGGGCUCAAGCAAUUCUCCCAUCUCAGCCUCCCAAGUUGCUGGGACUGCAGGUGUAUGCCACCACACCUGGCUAAUUUUUGUAUUUUUGGUAGAGACAGGGUCCACCCACCUUGGCCUCCCAAAGUGCUAGAAUUACAGGUGUGAGCCACUGCACCCGACCCCAACAGAGUUUUGGGGUUUUUUGUUUUGUUUUUUUUUUUUUGAGACGGAGUCUCGCUCUGCCACCCAGGUUGGAGUGCAGUGGUGCGAUCUCGGCUCACUGCAAUCUCUACCUCCUGGGUUCAAGUGAUUCUCCUGCCUUAGCCUCCCUAGUAGCUGGGACUACAGGUGCCUAACACCAUGCCCAGCUAAUUUUUGUAUUUUUAGUAGAGAUGGGAUUUCACCAUGUUGGCCAGGCUGGCUGGCCUGUAACUCCUGACCUCAGGUGAUCCACACACCUCAGCCUCCCAAAGUGCUGGGAUUACAGGCGUGAGCCACCAUGCCUGGCCAGCCCAAUAGAAGUCUUUAAAUAAGUAUUAUUCAGAAUUUCUAGAAAACACACUCCAAUCAUCUUCCAUAUUAAAACAAUGGUGAAGGAUUCACGGUGUGUGUGUGAGCACACACAGGUGUUUGGAAAUUAUCCACUCUUCUUCCCAGUUCUCUCUGGAUUCUCCCUUAGGAAACAAAAAUUUUUGAUCUAAUUUUAAGAAAAUUUUUAUUUUUAUGAAUUUAUGCUUAUAUUCAUUUUAUAUUUAGUUUUCUUUUCUUUCUUUCUUUUUUUUUUUUUUUGAGAUGGAGUUUCCCUCUUGUUGCCCAGGCUGAGUGCAAUGGUGCGAUCUCAGCUCACUGCAACCUCUGCCUCCCAGGUUCAAGCGAUUCUCUUGCUUCAGCCUCCCAAGUAGCUGGGACUAAAGGCGUGUGACACCACACCUGGCUAAUUUUUGUAUUUUUAGUAGAGAUGGGGGUUUACCAUGUUUUACCAUGUUGGCCAGACUGGCCUCGAACGCCUAACCUCAGGUGAUCCACCCACUUUGGCCUCCCAAAGUGCUAGGAUUAUAGGCGUGAGCCACUGAGCCCAGCCUAUAUUUUGUUUUCUAUAUUUAUUAGAUUUAUAAAUUUUUUAAAUCUCCAGCCUUAAGAACAUGCUUUAUGAUUUAAAUUUGAAAAGACAAGUUCUCUAUAUGAAAAUAAAGUUCCCUUAUCAGCAUUUUGUGAUAUAUUUACUGCUAAGUAUAGGUUGUGUGCUGCCAUUAUAAAUUUGAAUUAUGCAAAAAACAAGAUAAAGGCUUGAACUUUGCAUGUUACUUCUAGAACAGAAUACAGCUGAUCCUCAUUACUAAGAAUUCAUACUUAUUUAGCAUACUCGCUAAAAUUUAUUUGUAACCUCCAAAUCAAUACUCAUAGUACUUUUGUAGUCAUUUGUGGUCAUGCAAAGAGCAGUGAAAAAAUUAAGUUGCCCAAUGUGCACAUCCCUAGCUGAGGCUAAACCAAGUGAUGCUCUGCUUCUUUUUUGGACUCUCAUUCUCUAAACAAAUGUCCUUUUUGCAGUGUACUUGGUCCUACCUUUCUUACAUUUUUGUGCUUUUUCAUGAUUUCCCUAUUUAAAUUGGCCUCUAGUGCUGACAUGCUGAGGAGUGUUCUUAACCACAAGAUUAUGAUUUGCCUUAGAAAAACACGUUAGAUUAGCUUAGUUCAGGCAUGAGUUGAUAUUGACUGCAAGCUCAAUGUCAACAAAUCAACAAUAUAUUAAAUAAGAUGUGUGAUAUUAUAUAUACAGGUUUCAUCCACAGCUCCUGGCUCGCAACUCCCACAGCCCUGUUAAAGUCUUUUGUUAUAAUGUUGGGGCACUUUAGGCCCAGAAAAAGGCCUCAAAAAAUGGAAUCUCUCUCUCUCUGACCUUCCCUUGCCCUGGUUUCCCCAGCCCAAGGCAGAACUCUAACCUUCCCAGGCCUUUCUGAUUGAGUCCUGAGACCCUCAAUUCAGAAGGGAUCUUGCCCCUUACCCUGGAGGAAGGAAUGUGACACACAGGCCAAGAAGAAUCUGAACAGACAGGCCUUGCUGGGUUUCCCGCUCAGUCAAUGAGUAUUAGGUUGGCCAGGCGCUGUGGCUCAUGCCUGUAAUCCUAGCACUUUGGGAGGCCAAGGCAGGCAGAUCACCGGAGGUCAGUUUAAACUGAGACCAGCCUGACCAACAUGGUGAAACCCCAUCUCUACUAACAAUACAAAAUUAGCUGGGUGUGGUGGUUGAUGCCUGUAGUCCCAGCUACUUGGGAGGCUGAGCCAGGAGAAUCGCUUGAACCUGGGAAUCAGAGGUUGCAGUGAGCCAAGAUCGCGCCAUUGCACUCCAGCCUGGGCAACAAGAGUGAAACUCCAUCUCAAAAAUAAAUAAAUAAAUAAAUAAAUAAAUAAAUAAAUAGUAUUAGAUCAUACCUUUUUUGUCCAAUCACAUUUCUGCAUGGUUGUCAAUCAUACCUACACAAUGAAGUCUCCAUAAGAAGCUCAAGAUUGGGUUUGGAGAAUUUCCAGAUAGCUGAGCACCUGGAGGUUACUGGAGGGUGGUGCACGUAGGGAGGACGUGGAAGCUCCAAGCUCUUCUCCCAUACAUUGCCCUAUGUAUCUUUUCAUCUGUAUCUUGCAUAAUAUCCUCUUUUUUUUUUUUUUUUUUUUUUUUUUGGUUGAGACAGGGUCUCUCUCUGUGUUGUCCAGGCUGGAGUACAGUAGCACUAUCUUGGCUCACUGCAGCCUCUGCCUCCUGUGCUCUUUCCUCCCACCUCAGACUCCCAAGUAACUGGGACUACAGGUGCAUGCCACCACACUUGGCUUAUUUUUUAGCUUUUUGUAGAGACAAGGUCUCACUAUAUUGCCCAGGCUGGUCUCGAAUUUCUGGGCUCAAGCAAUCCUCCAGCCUUGGUCCCCACGGUGCUGAGAUUUCAGUUGUGAGCUACUGUGCCCAGACUUAUAACAUCCUUUAUAAUAAACUAAUACAUGUGUUUCCCUGAGUUCUCUGAGCCUGUCUAGCAAAUUAGUGCAACCCAAAGUCAUGAGAAUCCCAACUUGAAGCCACUCAGAGGUCAGAAAUUCCAGAGACCCAGACAUGUGACUCUUGGCUGGGGAGAGCAGGUAGUCUUGGGGAUUGGGACUUUAACCUGUGGGAUCUGUCCCUAUCUCCAAGCAGAUAGUGUCAAAAUUGAACUGGAGGACACCCAGUGGAUGUCUGCUGCAGAAUUUACUGCUUGCUUGGGUAGUGGUGUGAGAACAGAGGAAAAACAGUUUUGAGUUUUUCCACUCACAUACAAAAGACGUCUUUAACAGAAGCACACUUAAAAGAAAGUCAUGUAUUGAUCAAUUGUUGAAAAUGUUGUGACCAGACACUUGUAGGAACUUAAUUCUUAUAUUCCACCUGGGAGCAAUGAUUCAGUGUUUGCUAAUUCAGUACCCCCAGCAACUUUAUAAAGCAUAACUACAGCAAGUAAUGAGAAUUGCCUGGACCUCCUGCAAAGUACAAGGAUUAGAGGUAGAUAGUACUAAUCCAUCCCAGGUACAUGGAUUAGGCACUGAGAAAGAAGAGCCUUCUAGGAUAGCAUCCACACUUGACACUGGUUGCUUAGUUAAGUGAAUACCCUUCUUCUUAAGAAACGUCUUUUUGAGAUCUGAUUUUACUUAGUUUAAAAUAUAUGCUUACAAAAAUAAAUAACUGCAUUAGCCCAAAGUACUUAAAAAUUCUUGCUGAUGUUUUUUACUGUAAACUCUGCUAAGAGCUUUUAAGUCUUGUUACAGUGAAACAAUGGACAUAUACCCCUGGAAUAUGGAGACUUUUCAUUGAGUGUCACAUGCAGGGGAAAAAGGAAAACCAACAAUACUCCCUGGACCUCCCAAACCUUCUUGUCUUCAAGUCCUAAGCACAACAAAGAAUGCAAAAGGAGAGACACACUGCAUAUGCCUAUGUGGAUUCUCAUAUGCUUAUGUUCCAGUGACACCUUCCCAUUUGUCUUGUGCUAAGUAAACCCACAGGUUUGUGUAAUAAAGACAAAAAGCAUGCCAUUUAUUGCCAUAAUAGUGUACUAUUUCAUCCACUGACUUGAUCUGCCUAUCUGUGUAUUCAAAUAGCACCUAUGACCUGCUUCUCCGCCCAGACAGAACAAAUUAUUGGGUGUGACUUAGUCAAGCAUGAGAACAAACAGAGAGAAAUAUGAACUCAGGCUGUCAAGGCACAGAAGUAGGCAGUAAUGGGAAGCAGGUGAGAUGUGAUCCCAGCAGACCAAUGUGUUCUCUGAGUGCUAGUCCCAGGAUGGCAAUAACUGUUCCAAGUUCUGUUUAUGUCACUAGUGAUACCCACAACCAGCCAUUCUCAUCCUAGAACAUCCAGGUCUCAUACAUUCUGAAAGAUUCAGACUAUCAUCUAAAAUUGUAUUAGACCUGAUAAGAAUGGUUUCCUUUACCUGAUAUUCUAGUUCUGCAAAAGGCC
rnacentral:lncRNA from 10 species